UGAGGAAUAUUGCGCAAUGGGCGAAAGCCUGACGCAGCAACGCCGCGUGGAUGAUGAAGUUCUUCGGAAUGUAAAAUCCUUUUGCAGAGGAAGAAAAUGCUGGUUUACCGGCACUGACGGUACUCUGCGAAUAAGCCACGGCUAACUCUGUGCCAGCAGCCGCGGUGAUACGGGGGUGGCAAGCGUUGUCCGGAUUUACUGGGUGUAAAGGGUGCGCAGGCGGGCUCAUAAGUCGGGGGUUAAAUCCAUGUGCUUAACACAUGCAUGGCUUCCGAUACUGUGAGUCUAGAGUCUCGAAGAGGAAGAUGGAAUUUCCGGUGUAACGGUGGAAUGUGUAGAUAUCGGAGAGAACACCGGUGACAAGAGCAGUCUACUGGACGGGAACUGGCGCUCGGGAACGAAAGCGUGGGGAGCAAAC
rnacentral:rRNA from 1 species